UGACUUGCCUGGACGGGAUCAAUGGGCGAUCAAGAAGGCCCAUGGCCUAGGCUGGCAAACUCCAUUACACUUGGGAGGGGUGCCAACCUAAGGUUGGAUCGAGUGGUCGAGCUUACAUUAUAAUUUCUAGCAGUGUGGGCCCGUGUUCCCGCGGCCCCUGU